UGAGCACUGGUUUGUCUCUCUUCUUGGGGAGGUUCGUCUUCUUUAACUUCCAGAGGGAGAACGUGGCGAAACAGGGUCU
rnacentral:pre_miRNA from 1 species